GAUUGCACUAGUUCCACGAAUAUGACGCAUUGCAUAAUUUAUUGUUGAUGUGGAUGGACCAAGGCGACCCCAAUAGCCCAUGUUCUGUAUGAAAGACCUGGGUAAGUCCCUUCGUGGGCCAGGCACUAUGUUAUGUAUGAAAGACCUGGGUAAGUCCCUUCAUGGGCCAGGCACUAUGCAGAGGGAGUUUUGGUGGUCAUGUCCAAU
rnacentral:lncRNA from 1 species